rnacentral:rRNA from 1 species
CUUUACUGGAUACCGAUAGCGUUAAUUUAGAAUGAUCGAUACUAAGUAUCCUAAUUCUAAGUUAAUAAUUUUUGUCGGUAGGACAGUUUAGUUGGGGCGACUACCUUUGAAUAAGAAACGAAGGCGAGCUUAUGGUAUUAUUGAAAUCUCAUUAGCCUCACAGUGAGGGGGACACCCCUAGCUGGCACAAGGACUCACCCACAUAGUAUAUAGUAUAUACGUAAUGGGNCUCCUAUGUGGGCGAUAGUGACCCGAUAUGAUUAUCCAAAAUAAAUAUCGAAAGCGGAUAAAAGCUACCGUAGGGAUAACAGCGUAAUAUUGUCGGA